UACGUAGGGUGCAAGCGUUAAUCGGAAUUACUGGGCGUAAAGCGCGCGUAGGCGGAACGUUAAGUCCGGUCUGAAAGCCCCCGGCUCAACCGGGGAGGGUGGCUGGAAACUGGCGUUCUUGAGGGCGAGAGAGGAGGGUGGAAUUCCUGGUGUAGCGGUGAAAUGCGUAGAGAUCAGGAGGAACACCCGGGGCGAAGGCGGCCCUCUGGCUCGACCCUGACGCUGAGGCGCGAAAGCGUGGGGAGCGAACGGG
rnacentral:rRNA from 1 species